UACGAAGGGGGCUAGCGUUGUUCGGAAUCACUGGGCGUAAAGCGCACGCAGGCGGAUCGUUAAGUCAGGGGUGAAAUGCCGAGGCUCAACCUCGGAACUGCCUUUGAUACUGGCGAUCUUAGAGUCCGGGAGAGGUGAGCGGAACUCCGAGUGUAGAGGUGAAAUUCGUAGAUAUUCGGAAGAACACCAGUGGCGAAGGCGGCUCACUGGCCCGGUACUGACGCUCAGGUGCGAAAGCGUGGGGAGCAAACAGG
rnacentral:rRNA from 1 species